CUGGCAGUUACAGACCUGGACACGUGGCUCGCAUCCAGUCGUACACGUGCCAUCAUCUGGAGCCUCCUUGACUUGGGCGCUGCUUCUGACUCUCUUUUGGCUAAGUUACUUAUGCAUGGUACUGCCCAGUGCAUAGCUAACUUGGGAGCGCGAUCUCUACUAGAAUUGGCGAGUUAGGGUGCCCUCGUACACCUUCCCUGUGGUCUCGCCGGCCGC
rnacentral:lncRNA from 1 species